GGAACAAGUUUGGGAACCACUGGUCUAAGCCUUUGCAAAAUACAUAUUUUCACCUAUCCAGCAUGUCAGCAGGAUCAGGAAGAGAAGAAAAAGACACAAAGCACCUUGGACUAUGGAGAGGCAGACUAUGUUCCUAGAGCAGAUGGCCUACUAACUUUGCACAGCAGUGCAGCAGCUCAAUAAAAUUUUAAAAUGCUUAUAAAGUU